rnacentral:rRNA from 1 species
UACGUAGGGACCGAGCGUUGUCCGGAUUCAUUGGGCGUAAAGAGCUCGUAGGCGGCUUGUCACGUCGGGUGUGAAAGCCCGGGGCUUAACCCCGGGUCUGCAUUCGAUACGGGCUAGCUAGAGUGUGGUAGGGGAGAUCGGAAUUCCUGGUGUAGCGGUGAAAUGCGCAGAUAUCAGGAGGAACACCGGUGGCGAAGGCGGCAUCCUGGACCAAUUCUGACGCUGAGGAGCGAAAGCCAGGGGAGCAAACGGG